rnacentral:rRNA from 1 species
AUUGAACGCUGGCGGCAUGCCUUACACAUGCAAGUCGAACGGCAGCACGGGAGCUUGCUCCUGGUGGCGAGUGGCGAACGGGUGAGUAAUGCAUCGGAACAUGCCCACGAGAGGGGGAUAACGUAGCGAAAGUUACGCUAAUACCGCAUAGUCUCUGAGGAGUAAAGCGGGGGACCGUAAGGCCUCGCGCUUGUGGAAUGGCCGAUGUCGGAUUAGCUAGUUGGUGGGGUAAAGGCCUACCAAGGCGACGAUCCGUAGCAGGUCUGAGAGGAUGACCUGCGAAACAGGGACUGAGACACGGCCCAGACUCCUACGGGAGGCAGCAGUGGGGAAUUUUGGACAAUGGGGGCGACCCUGAUCCAGCCAUGCCGCGUGAGUGAAGAAGGCCUUCGGGUUGUAAAGCUCUUUCAGCCGGGAAGAAAUCGCGUAGGUAAAUAGCCUGCGUGGAUGACGGUACCGGACUAAGAAGCACCGGCUAACUACGUGCCAGCCGCCGCCGUAACAC